AUAUACAGGCCACAAAAAUGAAGAAUAUCGAAUAGACAGUUGUCUAAAUGAAAAUGACGACCAUUUGUUUUCGGGAUCUGAAGAUGGAAUAAUUUAUUGCUGGGACUUAGUCGAAAGUAACAUCAAAGCAAAAUUGAGUCACGUCGGCAAAGUGGUACACUCCGUCUCGUCUCAUCCUUCCAAACCUUGUUUGAUCUCGGCAACAAAGAACUUAGUGUACGUAUGGGAGGAUACGCCUCGAGAAGAAGAGAAGGACGACUCUUAAUUUUUACAACAAAUGAAUUGGAUUGGAUGGAUGAUGAAGCAGUAAAGACAAUCAUCAUGCUGUUCUUUUCAAGUUUGAAUCUGGUAUUUGGGUUUGCCCCACACCACUUGACUGCUUUUUUGCAGAUCUGUCAUACCCAUGAUGAGCAUGAAACAAGGCCUAUCUUCUAUAGGCAUCUUAGUGCCUAUGGGAGGAGAACCUUUAGACACUAUAAUCUAUGCUCUCCACUCUUAUUGCCUGCAAGGAGGAUGAAGCUUUAAAAAGUUGUCAAGUAUAAUAAUAUAAUUUUGAAAAUAAAGAAAGUAUUUUAACAAAUUAUCUUGCCAAUUUUUAAUUUUCUAUGUAAAUAUCAUUGUAACUUUACUUUUAAGAAUAUGUUCUUAACUCUAUGGUGA